GGGGGGGGGGGGGGGGGGGGGGGGGGGGGGGGGGGGGGGGGGGGGGGGGGGGGGGUGGGUGGGGUGGGGUUGGGGGGGGGCGGGUGGGGCCCGCGUGGGUACCCGCCCUGUACGGCUGGGUUACCUUCGGGAACCCGGUGCCAAUGCCGGGAGAUAUCUGGCGCCGCAUGGUUCAAUCAUGACAGACGGUUUUGCUGUCACUUAUGCAUUGGUCCGCGCAGCAUUAGCUAGUUGGUAAGGCAACGGCUUACCAAGGCGACGAUGCGUAGCCGACCUGAGAGGGUGAUCGGCCACACUGGAACUGAGACACGGUCCAGACUCCUACGGGAGGCAGCAGUAGGGAAUCUUCCGCAAUGGGCGAAAGCCUGACGGAGCAACGCCGCGUGAGUGAUGAAGGUCUUCGGAUCGUAAAACUCUGUUAUUAGGGAAGACCAAAUGUGUAAGUAACUAUGCACGUCUUGACGGUACCUAAUCAGAAAGCCACGGCUAACUACGUG
rnacentral:rRNA from 1 species